AGUACUCGAGUGGCGAACGGGUGAGUAACACGUGGGUGAUCUGCCCUGCACUUCGGGAUAAGCCUGGGAAACUGGGUCUAAUACCGGAUAGGAGCCAUUUUUAGUGUGAUGGUUGGAAAGUUUUUUCGGUGUAGGAUGAGCUCGCGGCCUAUCAGCUUGUUGGUGGGGUAAUGGCCUACCAAGGCGGCGACGGGUAGCCGGCCUGAGAGGGUGGACGGCCACAUUGGGACUGAGAUACGGCCCAG
rnacentral:rRNA from 1 species